CUGUCUGUACAGCACCAUCCGUUGACUGUGAGGAUCUUGAAACAGCUAUUUGCACUACCUGAAUAGAAAGGCUUGUUAAUUUGCAUAUUCAGGUAGAUUUGCAUAUUAUUAAUUCUGUAGGUGAGUUAUUUCUUGUUCGUUAUGAAUAUGUUAUUGUGCUAUUAGAGUUGCUAUAUGUUUUCCCUUAUGAUUUGGUUAUUUGCAUUACAUUGAGUUUGUCACCAUAUGUUUAAUGGCAAAGGUAGUGG